GGGCACUUAGCUCAGUGGUAGAGCGCUUCGUUUACACCGAAGAUGUCGGGGGUUCAAGUCCCUCAGUGCCCA
rnacentral:tRNA from 1 species